rnacentral:lncRNA from 1 species
ACGUUACUACACGGCGGAUCGCUUGGCUGACGCAGCAACCGACUCGCGAUCUUGUCAAAACUUCCGUCACGAUGCCAGCAAAAAAAUAGUUUGGUUUCCUUGCGUGUUUUUGACUCCUCCGAAUAUAGAUGGAAACUGACCCGCAUACGGAGGGAGCGAGUUUUGUACAGGCGUCCCGUGUGGCUAUUAUCUUCUUCCUCGCCUCACCCCACCCCACCUCUUUCCUCCCCUUGACCUCUCCUUUCCCCUUCCUCCUCUCCAAAAAGAAAAGGGUCUAAGAUCUUGGCAUCUCGAUUCUCAUGCCAUGGAUAUGGAUAUGGAUGGAGCCGUCUGCAUGGUUUCCGUAUGCCGACAUGAAAGAUAGCACAUCUUUUCUGCUUGGCUUCGACGCCUAUCGAAGCUCUGGCGGCCGAGACGGGCAAACUUCUCUUGUUGAUUGGAUCUUAACUGGAUUUCUUGUUCCAUGGCGUCAACAGGCCGGCCGAUACUGAUUCAACCUAAUUUCUUCUUGUUCGGUAGGUCGGUUUUUCUGGAUCUCGCCUCCAAGAUUGUUCCAUCUUUUCUCGACCUCAAAUCUGUUUGUUCAUGCCUGCAGGAUCUCCUCGCGGCCGGCUCUAUGCAUACCUCGUGUCCGAUGCACGCUUUCAUUGUGUAGAACACAGAUCGAUCUGAGCUGCUCAUGCCCGGUGAGUCUAGAUAGACUUGUAAUCGUUCAUUGUUUGUGGCCAAUUUCAAUC